ensembl:lncRNA
GUUGCUUCUUGACCUGCAUAUAGGUUUCUCAGGAGGCAGAGAAUUCCUGAGUAACAACUUUCAGAGAUAAAUCAACUCACUGCAGUGGCAUCCUAUCCAUGGACUAGUGACCCAGGUUUGGGGGAACUUAAAAAGAUUCUACAAGGUAUUGUGUAUAGAUGAAGAAGCACAUAUUGAAAAAUAAGAGUGGUAAAGGUAACCUUACCAUAUGUGAAGGCAUGCUGUGGAGCCCUCGUGACAACAGUGACCAGCAUGUACUGUGCACUUCUAGCUGGACACUGUGCAGAAGGCUUUACCAAGACUAUCCCAUGUAAUCAUCACAAUAAACCUCUGGAGAAGGCAGAGUGCUUACCUCCCAUUUUAAAGUUGAGGAGCCCAAGUGGGCUUAGAGGGGUCAUAUCUGUGUUGCCCGAGGGCACAGGCUAAUAAGAGACAGAGAUGAGGAUUCCACCUCAAGUCUAACUCCUGGGCCAGUAAUCUUGAUGACUACCAUCCAUUUUGUAAAUUUAAACAAUGAUUGUAUUUAAACAUACAGAUUACAUGCACACAUAAAUACCAACACCCAUAUUAAGCACUGUCUGAAGGAAAGUACCGUGUAAGCAGUAUUUAUUUAUUGGAGGUUGAAUCAGGCCAGUUUUAUUUCUUCCUCUUGUUGCCUGUGUUUUCUGCUUUUUACUCAAAGAAUGUAUAU